UACGAAGGGGGCUAGCGUUGCUCGGAAUCACUGGGCUUAAAGGGCGCGUAGGCGGGCGACCAAGUCAGGGGUGAAAUCUUUCGGCUUAACCGGAAAAUAGCCUCUGAUACUGGUUGUCUUGAGGGAGGUAGGGGUCUGUGGAACUUCUGGUGGAGCGGUGAAAUGCGUAGAUAUCAGAAGGAACGCCGGUGGCGAAAGCGACGGACUGGACCUCAUCUGACGCUGAGGCGCGAAAGCUAGGGGAGCAAACGGG
rnacentral:rRNA from 1 species